GCCUGGACAGCUCAACUGGUUAAAGUGUGGCGCUGACAACGCCAAGGUUGCAGGUUCAAUCCCCAUAUGGGAUG